UGUGCCAGGCUUCUGGGCAGG
rnacentral:misc_RNA from 1 species